rnacentral:snoRNA from 1 species
UACGCAGGGAUAUGUGUGUAUCGGCUGACACUUAGUAAUGCACUUUGACCGAAAGAGUUCUCUGCUAAACUGUGAAAGAGUUCUCUGCUAAACUGUGUAUUGGAAAAGAUGAGCAAUUGUGUUUUAUUCUUGUUGAAAUCUUUCAACAAUCAUCUUCCUUACAUUU